GUAUUACCAUGAGUUCUUUUUAAGCACUUCAUACGACACCAUUAUUUCUAGGGUUGUUGUGAAGUGUUUGGAGGAACUCUCGGUGUCAU
rfam:Oryza meridionalis cultivar OR44 (W2112) chromosome 4, whole genome shotgun sequence.